rnacentral:lncRNA from 1 species
CUGGAAGCUCAUUGCGGCUGAGCUGGCUGCGGAAGUGGGUGCAGAGUUACUGCAAGACUGUACACUGGAUCCCUGGAAACCUUAAUAUUUGACUGCGUAUAGUGCUUUUGGUAGACUGUCCUGAU